CCGGCUCUACAAAACGGCAACUGGUUCGUGAAAGUGUUGAACCUCUGCAUUACAAAACCCGUAAGUAUUUAUUGUUCUUAUAUUAAUUUGUUAAAUUGUUUCAUUUUAAUUUAUGAAUCUUGAUCUAGCAAACCGUGAGCAUUUGAAUGUCAAUUCCAGCAGCAGCAACACUAAUAGCAGCAACAAUUCCAGCAGCAAGACUUCUUGUUGUAUUCCAGCCAGUAAACAAUUUCACACACACACAUAUCAGCAGCAACAAGUGCCCAAAAUAAUAAAAAAACAAUUAGGAGUUCACACAUACAAAUACAAAAAAAAAAAAUUGCAGCAACAAUUCGAGCACCAACUCCAGCACCAGUAACACUUCCAGCAAAAAAAAUUCCAGCAGCAACAACUCCAGCAUCAAUUCCAGCACCAAUAACGCUUCCAGCAAAAAAAAUUCCAACAACAACAACCUGGCCAAGGGGAGCCGUGUGGCGCUUUGUGAGUGGAUGAGGAGGGAGAGAAGUUGACCCGGUUUGACCCGCAAACCCGACCUGACCCGCAAAUGUGACCCGGUUGGAUUUCACGAUCCCGGCCACUCUACCGGCCGAUCAAGGUAUUGAUCUGAAGCUUGGAAGUCGGCCGUCGUUUCCUUGCCAUCCUUGUCGCCGAAAACCAACAGGAACGCCGGCAAUUUAGCUCGAAAGAACCGCGGCUCCAACCACCUCCAUCGUCGUCGAUUUCAUCGGAGUUUGGACGCACCACCACGUGAGUUCUACUCCCUCGAUCGCGUGAUGGCGGUGGUCCGUCGUCUGUGGGCUUGUCCGUCGUCUGUGCUGGCUGUUCGCAUGACCGUUGGGUGAUUGCUAUUUGUGUUGGAGUCUGUGGUUUGUCAAUAGGAAAGUGAGAGAGUGUGUUAGUGUGGUUUCUGAUGCAGAUUAAAUUGAAAACGCACCGUUUUCAAUUUAAUCAAAACGACGUCGUUUUUCUAAUUCGGGGCGCGAUUCGGGGUUAAAUUAGGGGGAAAUAGUUUUUUCUAUAUUUAUAACCCUCACAAAUAAAGGAUGUAACACCCUAGGCGAAUCCCACAUCGGCAAAGCACAGGAGAGAUGCUGGGUUUAUAAGGGGUGAUCCACACCUUAAUUGGCAAGACGCGUUUUGGGGUGUAUGGGCGCCCCAAGAACAAAUCCGUGCGGGCCUUGUUAAGGCCCAAAGCGGACAAUAUCUUGCCAGGUCUGGGUUGGGUCAUGACAUUAUGGUAUCAGAGCGGCUCCGCGUGUCCUCUUGAGCGAUGGUGGGGCAAACCUCAGCGAGGACGCUGAGUCCCCAGGGGGGGGUGUAUGUAACACCCUAGGCGAAUCCCACAUCGGCAAAGCACGGGAGAGAUGCUGGGUUUAUAAGGGGUGAUCCACACCUUAAUUGGCAAGACGCGUUUUGGGGUGUAUGGGCGCCCCAAGAACAAAUCCGUGCGGGCCUUGUUAAGGCCCAAAGCGGACAAUAUCUUGUCAGGUCUGGGUUGGGUCAUGACAAAGGAUGUCUUUACUCUUCUCGCUACUCCACUCGUAUUUCGCAAGAGAAAAUAAUUUACAAGUAACUCCACCCAAUCAUGCAUAAUAUUUAAUUAAAAGAGUUUGAAUCUAUUGGGACUCGAAUCUUAAUUUUCAAAAUCAUACUUAAUUACAACUUACAAGGAUAAAGGUUUACCACUAGACCAAAGGCCUAGUGGCUAGCAGACGAGUGAUUUAAUGUUGAUGCUAGUAAACAAAAAGUUGACAUUGGUAAACUCCUAAAAUGGAUAAAACAAUAGUAUCAAAAAUGUAAAUUGAGCAAUUUUGUUGAAUAGCCAAAUAUUCGGUCUAACUAUAGGCUAACCUACUCGCGGAGGUGAGAGACAUUCUCAUUUCUCUGUGACUAAUUACAAAUUUCAGUCUUUCAUUUGUCACGCUUCGUUAACGGUAUUUGUCGUUAACAAUAACACAUCCACCAUUCAACUGUAAUUAAUCAUAACUAAAUUUUCCAGACAUCCCCUCCAUAUUUCCUCCUCAACUGCAUUCCCAAAACCAGAUCACAGAUUCACAGAUUCUAAUCAUCAGUCACCGACGGUCAUGAUUGCGAUCACUGUCAGAGAGGUGACAAUCAAUCAAAGACAAUGAGGACGCAGCCACACGAAAUCAUUCCCAAUUCCUCGACGAGUCGACGCGGCGCACUCAACUAUAUAUACUCUACACGGUUGAAAAUUUGUUUCAUUUUACAAUCGCCGGGCUUUUCGAAUUUCCCUCUUUAUAUUCAAGUAAACAUCACUAUACUCUCUCUCUCUGUACUCCUACUCUCUCGCUUAGCUUUACGAAACUUUACCAACAAACACACACGACACGUUGCAUUUCUUCUUUUUUUGGUUGCAGCGCCAAACAUGGCCUUGAUUUUCCUUUUCUGGUUUCUCAUGUCCGCGAUUAACAUAGCUCUCAUUGCUUCAACCUUUUAUCAGGUACAAUCAUCAAUUCUGUUUUUAUUUCUCUCAUUAUUGAUCUAGAAACUUUUGGAUACCGAUUUUGUACUCUUUGGCUGCCGAGAAAACUGAGGUUUACUAGUUUAGAUAUUGCGACGUAUGUAUGUGUAUUUGUAUCUGUUUUCAUUUGCUUAGUGAUGAUCUCUGUGAAUCUAGUUAUGAUGCUUUAGUUUCAGAUUCUUUGAAAUAUCUAAACCCUAAGGUUAUGUUUGGCUGCCGAGAAAAUUAAACGAAUGAAGGAAAAUGGAAAAUGAAGUUUGAAAUUACAACACCGUACUUGUUUCCUUUUUCUUAGCAACCUCAACUGGAAAUACUAAUAUGACAUGUUUGUUUGUACUCUUUUGCUUAAUGUAAAGCGUAGUAGUGCUGCUGUUUGUUUGCUGAGAAAGUCAAAAGAAAACGAAGGAAAACAGAGAUCUCAAGUUUAAAUGUUGUGCUUUACUGCUGCUUAUUUGGAUAAUCAAAAUCCUAAUUGCUCAUAGCAUGUUUGCAUGGUGAGAAAAUGUAGGAAUAUAAAGGAGAACGGAAAUUAUUUAAGUCUGGACCUGUACGGUAUGGCUUGACUUUUUCUUACUUGAUUAAACUCUAAUGUGAACUGUUUGUCUGCUGAGAUGACUGAGAAAAUGAAAGAAAACAGGAAUUUGAAAGACUAAUAUUUAGAAGUUAAGACGGAUAAAGAGAUAAGAGACCCAAAUCAUUACUUACUGUGUUUGCCACAUGUUAAACUUGUUAUACCUGUUUGGUUGCGUAGAAAACUGAGGAAAAGUAGUUGAAAGUAGAGAUUUGAAAUCUUUUAAUACCAUAAUUUUGAGGAUUUUUUUCUCUUUGAUGAAAAAAACUCAGCUUAACUCAAUAAUUGUGCUAUAUGUUUGAUUUUAUCUUCAUUUCAUGUGUACCUCCAUAUCUGUGUCAAGAUUUGCAAUAGGUGUUAAUUAUAAUACAAAUGUUUAUUCUGCCUCAAGGAAAGUUGUAUUCAAUUCCCUAAUUUGUUGCUUAAGAAGUGUAUCGAUCAAAAGUUUUGUCACUCUAUUGCUUCAAUAACCUGAUUUAGUUUAUACUUUCAAAAAUGCACUUUAAAAUAUAUGGGAAACCAGCAAAUCAUUUUUGUCAGGAAACUAGUCUUAUUAGAAUGUUAGUAUGUUAUCAUCUUUUAUGUGAAUGUAUAAUGCUUAAUAUUUGUUUGUCGGUGCCCAUACUAAUGGAUGUAUUCUUUCCUGCUGUUAUUGAUUUUAAUGACAUAUGACUCUAUUCUCUUUCUAUUUUCCAAAACCUAAAUGGCUAUUUUUUUUACAUUAUAAAUGCUAGAACCAUAAACUCCCACAAACAUACACAUAUACAAACUUAAGAAAUAUGAAGGAGAAAGGAAGAGAGGCAUGCAGUGUCAUCAUGUUUCAUUAUGUGUGAUUAUGCUAAGUUUUAUGCUUUGGUUCUCCAGUCUAAUAUAUCCAAAAUUUCUGUAUGAUGUUUGCAGCUUUUAUGCUUGUUGGACUUGGAGUCUGAUGAUAUAAAUCCUUUUGAAGCGUCAUCUCGCAUCAAUUUUUGGGUUGAGCCUGAAUUUCUUUUGCAAGGAUUGUUCUGCAUUCUCCUUCUUGUGACAGGCCACUGGAUCAUGUUUCUUCUUGGUGUACCUCUUGUGUGCUACCAUGUGAAUCUGUAAGUGUUUUCUCUGGUUGAACCAAAUUUCUUGUAUUGUUAAGAUAUGAUAGUUGACAAUAUCAGAGAUAGGAAAGUUCAAAAUAGUGAAGUACACAUUAUUUUGCUUGAACUGAUUGAGAAAAGAUUGCUCUAAUUUUAUAUUGCUGAAUUAGCUAGGCUUCAUUUAAGGAGCAUGAGUGACCAGGCUUUAUAGGUAUUAGUAUGACACCAUUGGUUUAACUAGAUUAUUCUGAGCAUUUGUAAGACCGUUGAAAAGUGAAUUUAUUUAUGUUUUAUAAACUGAAAUUGAUUUUGGAGUAAUCUUUAGGCUUUCCAUAUGACUUCAUUAUUGUGGAAUUUUCAAAAGUUUAAGCAGUAAUAAGUGCAUCGACUGUAAAUUAAGGACUUUAUCUUCUCUGUCUUGUAAAGUGUCUCACUUGAUUUUUGAUGCAGAUGAUAUAUCUACUGGUAGUGACAUCCAGAAAAAUGAAACUUCUAGUGCAUGAAUCAAAUUCUUGCUCUCCUUUUUCUCAUAACUCUGUCCAGCCUGGAUGUUAGGUUUUGAACAAAGUGAUUUUUCUAAAACAACAUGAUAAAUAUGGGGAACACGUUGUCUCUUGCUUUUCAGUAGUCAUUAUAUGUCCAAAUGGUUCAUUUAUUGUAAAAUUUCUGUUCAACUACUUUUGUUCUUUCGUCACACCAUAUUACAAGUUAUUAUAGUCAAUAGCCUUGAACUCUAGAGAUUGUAGUGGUUAUUUAGGAAAUGCUUGCCUAAGUAUUACCUAUCUUGGCAAACUAAGAUCUGGGGAAAAUAGAAUUUCUAAACUCAUAGACAAACCUAUUAAUUGAAUAUUUCAGAUAUCUGACAUCUAGAAGACAAAUGAGUGUGUGAAAUGCCUGAACAAACUCUCAAGUUAAUCACUGUGAAUAAUAUUGAAUUGAUUGCCUAGGAGUUAAAAUUGUAGAAUUAGUUGGAUUGAAGACAUCAAGGUUUAAAAGGAUUAUAGCAUCAGCAGUGGAUACAUGAAUGAUAUCUUGGAAAAGGAACUCUUUACUCUUACAUAAAGUUUGUGAUUAAUCAACUUCUCUAGGAAUGAAAAUUAUGGUAUUAUGAGUUUUAACUUGCAUAUAACAUUUGUGAGUUUCCCUACCCGCUCUGGACAUGGUUAUGUUCGGUUGAAUAGUUUCUGGCUAGGCUUGUCUCUAUUUAUAAUAUUUUUGUGGAUUGAACUUAAGGCAUUUAUGUUCUUCCAUAACCUUACUAUUCGAAUGUUCCAGGUAUAUGAAGCGGAAGCAUCUUAUUGAUGUAACUGAAGUUUUCAGAAACCUCAAGGUUGAGAAGAAGUUUCGACUUGCCAAGCUGGGUUUCUAUGUGAUUUUCUUCGCUCUGGUCAUAGCCAAGUAUGUUCCGCACUGAGUACAUAACUAUCAUUGUGGCUUAUAUUUUUUUACUCUUUUGUCAGUGUAUUUGACUAGCCUUAUUUUAUUAUUAUUAUUAUUUUUCUAAUUAAGUUUAUGCCUGUCAUUUGGGUGUAGCAUUAUUGCUGUUGGCAAAUUUUGGGUCUCCCAUUCGGACUUUGGAGAUUUAGACAUACGCUUCUCUAUUUUAGAACACUAGGGAAUAGCCUUACAAGUGAUUCCAUGUAUGUAACUGAUUGCUCUGAAGUAGGGUAGCAUUUGAUCCACAAGGCACUUACAGUCUACAUUCCUGUUAUUUUGAUAUGCACGAGUUACUUUCCUAAUUAUUUUAUUCUUAUUAUGAUGCUGCCUCUUUCUUAGUCAUAUUUUACCUGUGUGAAUUUUCAAAAUAUGAUGAUGGCCUUCUUCAUUAAGGAACAAAUUUUCAUUACAAUAUUUUGAAUGUAGUAUUUGGAUUUUUUUCAUUUUUAAGACUGAGGGAUUUGAUUAAUUAUUUAAUUUGCACUCCCUGCUGUUUAUACUAUUACAGUCGUGGCAUACUGGUUAAAAAGGUUUAAGAGAAUAUUUCAGACCUUCAAAUUUUAUUCUUGCAGAACCAAGUUGAAAUAUACCAUCAUUUGUUUUAAAAGUCCGUACAAAGUGUUAGGACUUCGAAUCUUUUUGGGCUCCUUUUUAACUUCCCCAUUGAUCUAUAGGCAUACUGAUGAUUGCUAGUGAAUUUCUUUCCUCCCUCUCGUAUUAUUAUUAUUUUCUUUUGAAGAGUAAUUCCCUUCUCAAGGAGAACACUAAACAUUGUUUCUCUCUCCACCCUCUUCUAUGCUGAUGAUAAGUUGUUAUGUGCAGGCUUGCAAUGGCAGGUUUUGAAGCUUUAGCUGGCAAGGAUGAAAACCCACUUUCAUUCUAAUCCCCACUGCUUUGAACAGUGUGGUAUCCAGGCUUCUAAGCCAAGUCUUCCAUACUUCUGAUCCAUGUAAACAACAAACCUUCUCUCACACAAAUAGAUUUGUUAGUACUCGGAAGUUAAAAUGAGUUUUACUGCACUGUUUCUCUGAUUGGGUGUCCUUGGCUAUUCCUGGGAACCAAAAUGUUCACAUCGGUACAUAGAUUUGUAGACUGGUUAAUGAAAUGACAUAUGUCAUUCGCCAUUUUAUGGAAUUUUAUGUCAUCUUUCCACUCAUUGUAUAGCUUUCUGGUCAUUCGCCUCGACCUUAUGUUGAAAUAUCUUGAGCAAAUGACUUUGUUCAUCAGAGUUGGGAUGACCAAAUGCAAACUGGUGCAAGCCCAUUCACUUACUGUUGUUCUCAUCCUUUGCAACUUCUCUGAAGCACAUUUCACUGAAAUGAAAUGUUUUGGGCUUUGAUUUUCUUUCAAUUUUCACUAAAAAUUUGGUCCAGCCCAAGGAUUGUUUGUGAAAGAUAUUGAUCUCAUAAGACAUAAAUCCUUGGAGAUUCUAGAGAAGCUGGUACACUUGAUCUAUCAGGUAAAUUGCCAAACAGUUUACUUUGUGGAAACUUCCUCAAUACCUUCGGGCCUGAAAAUGACUAAGGCCUGAAGUUUUUGGGCCCACUCUAUCUUCCACUAAGUGUCCAAUACCCGACAGCUGGCCAGACCCGACAUACGACAGCUUGACAACAGCUCUGCCUUUCCCUGUAGAAGCAAAAGCUACCAAUAAUUGAUACUUGGGCCCAUUUUCAAAACAUCAUCAAGGCCUACGGACCCUCAGUUCAGUGUGCUCCCCUUCCGUGAUUGGAGUUUUUUAACCACUCGAUUUGCCGACCCUACCAAACCUGAAUUGUUUUCCGUGACCUGUUGGGUCGAUUUCGGGUCCUGGACUUCACUGUAAGUUGUCUUACUGCCUUCCCCCAUGUGGGUCCAGGUAUCAUCAAAGGCCUGCUUAUAUUUGUGCGGGUCGAUGUCAAGUGGGCCCUUGGGACAAUAUCUGACCGUUGGAUGUACCAGCCGGGCCCUUUUCCUCUUGAUUAUUAAUUUCAAGGGCUGUUUGGGAAAUUGGAAAACAGAAUUUGGGGCCCACUUUUUCUGCUGUCCUAUGCUGUUCGGGAAACUUGUUGUGGAGUCUUGAACAUGAUAAGUUUCAAUUCCCAUGUUACGGUAUGGGUUUCUGCAGUUCUGCUUCUUUCAGGUUUUUAAACUGAAACUACACUUUUAAGUGUGUUUGUUAGGGCACAUUGUGUAUCAAUAAUGUGGCAGCUGCUAAGUAAGUUGCAUUAUAUGUAACUUAUAACAACUUAAAAGUAGUCGUUCAGUACAAUAAAAUGAUAGCAUGUGAAACAAGUUAGAGAUUAUGGAUAAUUACAUUUGAAUUUAUUAUAAAUUACAUUAUAUAUAACUUAGCAAGACCCAAUAAUAUCCAUUUGCCUGCAAUGCUUUCUCUAUUUAUUACCUUUUUUUCUUUCUUUUCAAUCAAUUAAGUUUUUUAGGAAACUUGAGUAAAGUGAACGAAAACUAAAUAAACUUAAAAGUAUAAAAUUUUAUUCGUGUUAUCAGAUACCAUCAACUCGAGUAGUUUCUUAAAUAUAAUAUUUUAAAUAAAUACACUUUAUAUAAUAUUUUAAUAAUGUUAGAGUUAUAAAUUCUUUUUGCAUAAACUGAUGUGACAUAAUAAUAUUAGUUGAAUAAAAAAUAUAUAGACCAUAUGAUUUAUUUUCGUUAAUAAUAUCUCAAAUAAUCAAUAAUGCUAUGUCACUCUAAUAACUUGUACAAAGUAAUUUUAAUAAAGAGUUUCGGUUCUGGCACUACUCUUGCUUAACAUAAGUUUUAUUUAUUUAGCUUCAAAAUUAUUUCAGUUUUUCCCUACUAAUAUAACUAUAAAUCAGUUGGUUUAAAAAAAUGACUUGAUUCAUGCAUUUAUAGUCUGUUUGGGAGUGUGGUAAGGUAACUGGGCUGCCAAAGCUCAGCUACUAAGGUGUUUGGUAACACUUGUAGCUGGGCUUUGGCAGUUUAGCAAAUUUUUUUUCUCAAUUUCUACUCUACAGUUGUAGCUUUUACUCCACAGCAGCUGCAGCUUAAAGAUACAAUACAUCACUCUCAAACACACCGAACUUGAAUUCAGCAUUCAUUUUCUUGUACUUAUUUUAUAAUAUAAUCUCCUACCGCAUAUAUAUUUAAUAUAUUUAAUUACUUAUAUAACAACAACCAAUCACAAUCUCAAUGAAAAAAAUCAUACCCUAUGCUGUGGUCCUCCAUAUAUAUAUUAAAAAAAAUCACUUGCAGCCAAACACGACUUUUGGAUUGUGUUGUAUAUUAUAUAUUGUAGAUUGUACUAGUCUUGAUGUGCUUAUAGAACUUGGAGAGAGGUGGAAGACAAUGACCAUUUUGGUGGUCCCGCAAUCACUGAACAGGUGGGACCCAAUUGGAUUUUGACACCUGUCACUGCCAAUGGUGUAAAACUUUGUGUCUUUCCAUUAUUUAUUUUCUUUGAAUUUUGAUGCAGAAAGGUCUUGAAAUGAGGAUUGGGAUACUUUAUUUAUCUCUUUUAAUCUUUCAUAAUCUUUUAAAUUUAGUGAAAAAAAAAAUAGAUUGAUUAUCAAUAUCAAAAUUUAAAGUUCAAUCUGACUAUUUGUUUUAUUAAGAAAAAUUAUGAGAGAAGAAAUACUACAAGAAAAUUCUUGUCCUCUAAAAAAACUAUAAGAAAAAUUGUAAAAUAAAAUAUUUAAAAAAAAAGUGUUUUUUGGACUUUACAUGAAAGUGGAUACCAGAUUAUGGGCCUAUGGGCUUUGUUCACGUGAAUCGCAUGCGGAUCGGACCCACUUAAGCCGAUAUUCUCUUAGUUAUUCAACAUUUGAUGAUCACGAGGUAAAAAAAAAAAAAUGAUGAUCAUGGGAGAUUUAUUUAAUAUUUGUGACUUGUGAGAGGAUUUCGGUGAGAAUAUCUAUUGUCGCCCUUUUGUGUUCUUUCAAUUCUAAACGGGGAUGAAUCAAUUUUAUGCAUAUCUUGAAUCUAUUCAUCAAUUGUAUUAUCCUUUUUGCCAACUUUUUAUUAAAUUCAAAGAUAGUUAUUAUUAAUUUGACUAUCUUAUUUUGAAAAUUUCCAUAUUUAAUAUUGAAUUUAUGUUUCAUAUAAUCAUAUCCAAAUUUCAAAAUUAGAUAUAUGGUUGUAUAAAGGGGGACAAAACAAUGUUAUCACUUUGUAAAUUUAGGGUAAUCUUUGUUUUCUGAUAACUUGAUUUUUUUUUUAAAAUUUGCCAAUAUUUUUUAAUAUUAUAUGUUACAUCCCUUAAGUUUUGUUAUGGUGCAACUCAUAUGUCUGAGCUUAAAAUAAUUAGAGGAAAAAAAAAAUCUCCACCACAUGUGUUAAAAAAAAAAAGUGAUCUAUCAUCAUUCUAAUAGAUGAUAAAUGCACUUUUUUUAGUAUUACGUAAGUUGGUGUUUGUUUAAAAAAAAUUUCAAAUGUUAUUUAUCUUAUGAAAUUUAACUCACUUCACAUACAAUUCCAAGUUCGAACGAGAUUAAAAGAAAUCAAUUCAUAAUAUUUAGAAUCAAUUAAAGAACCUUAAACAAUUUAGUCUACUUGUUUAUUCGUGUUUUCUUUCUUUAUUCUUUUGGAGAAAAAGCAAAAUAAUUACACUAAUAUUUGCAAAUUGAAUGGUGAUGUGGCACACCACCAUAGCAAACUUGGGAAAUCCUCCUAUAAUGCAAUGGCAACCUAAUUUUAGGAUUAGUCUCACUUAUGGGUCGCAAUCCCAUUAAUGAUGAACAAUUAUGAGUCAAAAAAUCUAUCAAUGAAAUUAUGAAUACUUAAUUAGUUUGGGAAGCUUUCAUUUUUAUAUUUUGAUUUAUUGUGGGCCUUAAUACAAAUAUUAAGGAGGACAUAAUUGAUGUCCACUGUCCAACACAAAUUAUUAUAGUCUGCAUUUAGUAAUUGAGAUUGUUGUUUUCAUUAAUAUGCUAUUGUGACAAUACUUUAAUGAAUUGCUUGUGUAAUUUUUAGCAUUCUUCACUCUCCCCUCCCCUCCCCUUAGUUUAUAAAUUUAUUUGAAUAUUCAAAAAAUUAUAAUACAUUAAAAUCCAUCUUCCAAACCCUAGUGGUACAUCCUAAAUUUGAAAUUAAAAAAAAAGUUUAUUAGUGUGAACUCAUAAAAAUAUAUUGGAAUAAAAAUUCUAAGAUAAUUAUAGUAGUAGUUGGAUGGUAGCUAUUACGUUAGUAAAUAUGUCUGAGAAAUGUUAGUAAACAUGUAGCAAGCCAAUGCACAAUGUUGGAUGUGAAAAUGGUGCUUUCAAUUUUAGCAUCAUUUUCAUGUAGCUGGACUAGAUAAAGCUGUGCAAUUGUCUAUUUGGUUGUUCAUAUUUUUUUUUUAAUUUGUGCUCCCAUCUAUCAACAUUGUUGCUACCUAAAAAUUUAGUUUUGGCUUAUAGUUUGGUUUAAUUAAUUGUCCGGUCUAUUCGAGUUUGAAUCCUAAAAGAAAAGGAGAUUAGAGGUCAAUUUGACUUUUUUCUACCCUACUUUUAAGAAAGAAAAAAAAAAUAUAGCCUUGAAAAGAAAAAAUUACUUGUUCUCUCAAUAUACACUGAUCACUCAUGCAUCUACCAAGUUAUUGAUUAAAAAACAUCUGAUCUCUACUUCCAUAACCAAUAAAUUAUGGACACCCAUAUAUAUAUUUACUCUUACGUAAUUAAUUGAGAGGUACUCGUAGUAAAAAAUUUUAACGGAGAAGGAAUAUAUAUAUGUAAAAUUAGGAGCACCCAAUUAAGUGUUUAAUUAUGCGGACAGUGUAUGAUCGAACUUGUUGUAUGAUUGGAACUGGGAAAAUAUCAGCUCUGAAAAAGUACUUGCGAUCAUGAUGAGAUGUCAUUUUUCCUUGCUCAACUUUCUCUUCCCAUUUCUGGGUAAUUCAAAAUCGAAAUCAUCUCGUCAGGUAACCUGGAAUGGUAAAAGGUGCCCGGUGCCCGGCUCCUUUCACAGGAACUUGCCCAUAUGCCUUUGCGAGUUUCCAGGCCCCAGGGGUGAGAGAUUCUUUACACAAAAUACUUGCACUCGAUUGUGUUCACGAGUCCUGGAAAGGGACACACCCUCCCUGUCAAAUUUGGCUUUUGCUAUAGCAAGCUGUAGAAUUUUUGAUCUGACAGGCACCUUUUUCCCAAUUUGGAGCUUUGAGAGCAACCCCUUAACAAAUCCAUUUCGUUUUUUAACAAUAUUAUGUUUCACUGUUUGUGUAUCGUGUUUAUGUAAUCUGAUAUUUAAGAGUUUUUUUUUUUUUUUUUUUUUUUUUUNNNNNNNNNNNNNNNNNNNNNNNNNNNNNNNNNNNNNNNNNNNNNNNNNNNNNNNNNNNNNNNNNNNNNNNNNNNNNNNNNNNNNNNNNNNNNNNNNNNNNNNNNNNNNNNNNNNNNNNNNNNNNNNNNNNNNNNNNNNNNNNNNNNNNNNNNNNNNNNNNNNNNNNNNNNNNNNNNNNNNNNNNNNNNNNNNNNNNNNNNNNNNNNNNNNNNNNNNNNNNNNNNNNNNNNNNNNNNNNNNNNNNNNNNNNNNNNNNNNNNNNNNNNNNNNNNNNNNNNNNNNNNNNNNNNNNNNNNNNNNNNNNNNNNNNNNNNNNNNNNNNNNNNNNNNNNNNNNNNNNNNNNNNNNNNNNNNNNNNNNNNNNNNNNNNNNNNNNNNNNNNNNNNNNNNNNNNNNNNNNNNNNNNNNNNNNNNNNNNNNNNNNNNNNNNNNNNNNNNNNNNAAGUUUUUUUUUUUUUUUUUUUUUUUUUCAUGAGAAAGAGUUUCUUUUAUUAUUAUUGUUGUUGCCUUAUCGGUUCAUCAACGAUCGACUCAAAAAGGAGUUUAUGGAAUCCGUCUUAUAAGUUUAAUUCGUUUAAAGUUCAGUCUGAAAAUAUGCCCUAAAAUAGAAGGAAUUUACUUCUAAGUGAUGAGAAAUUUUGCUCCCACAUUAUACAUAACGAGACUUGAACUUACGCAACGAUAAUUUAGCCCAGGAGCGACAAUUGUCUAGCAAAGAGAUGGUUAAUCUUAAUAGAUGAGAAAAAAAAAAAAAGAAGAAGCUCUAAAUAGGAUAUAAUUGAAAGAAAAUUCUUUUCGAUUUCUAUGAUCUCUAAUGUGUUUAGUAGGAUCAAAACGCAAUCUUAAAAUGGAUAGAAAAAAUGUCUAAAUUCUUUUUUUUUUUUUUGGGUGAUUUUUUUAAUGUUUUUUUUAAACUUUUUUACUUUGAACCUGUCAUUGUUAUAAUGUGCUAGGUUGUUGGAGUCAUUAUUGGGACCAACGGUUCACAAUCACCUUCCAAAAUGGGGCAGUUCCUGAAACGAGCUCCAGCCGCUUACGAAGUUGGUCAGUGCAAAAGUGACACCACUCUUCAAAUUGCUCGUGUCAGUGUUCAAGACAAUGAGGCUUCACAAAGAUAUUUGUUACGUUUGGUGUGAAUCGGAAUCGGAAUCGGAAUCGGAAUUUACUUGUAAAGACUUAAAAGCCAGCGUAAAUUGCAACACUCCAUCGCAUUUACCAUAUUAAGGUGAUGGGCUUAAGAGGCCCAGCGUAAAAUCAAGAGGGCUUUAGGCUUGAUUCGAAAUUAAGAGCUCAAUGGAGAGGAGAGGACAACUCUUUUGACAGUAAACUAUUUUGACAGUAAAAGCAGUUUACCGUGGUGAAACAAAAGAUAAAGAGUUUUUUAUUUUUUAUUUUUUAUCCUCUCUAAUCUCUUGUUUCCUUGCAUCUAUAUAAACUUAGUUUACUCUUAUUUUUUGCUGAGAUAGGUUUGACCUUCAAAUUUGCACCAUUUAAUUAGGAGGUGUUUAAUGGUUUAAAUCUAUUGGGUUUUGUUAAAUCUAGGUCCAAUUCAUCAUAUAUUGGAUUUCAUAUUUUGGAUCCGGUCCAAUCCAAUCCAAUCACUAAUUAAAAUCAAUUCAAACCAAUAAAAAGUUAAAAUUUAAUUUAAUCUAAUCCAAUCAAUCCAGUUAAAAUAAAAGUAUAUUAAUAACAAUCGUCAAUUUCUCUUCAAAAUUAACUCCUUUAAUAUUUCAUGAUUCAUAUACAAUGUUUUAUUAUCAUAUGGUUGAGAAAAAACACAAUUGAAAUUUUGAAAUUUGAAAAUUGAAAGCAAACAAUGGUUGCAACUUGCAAUUUGUACUAUGUAUUAUUAUUGUAUAUUCAUAGUUAUACAAAAUUACGUUUUAUUUUUUUAGCAAGUUAAAUAUAGAUGUGACAUGUAGCUUUUUUUUUAAAAAAAAAAAUUGAUUGGAUUGGUUUAUCCAUAAACCAACUCAAUAAUAUUGAAAUUUUCAAUUUACAAUCCAAUCCAAUCAAAAGAUUAAUAUGACAAAAAAUGGAUUGAUUUGAAUUAGAUUGAAUUGGAUCUUAAACACUCCUGCAUCUAAAAGAUUUAUUAAUGGAACAAAAGGUAAAGACAAAUUAACAUCUAAUAAGACUUAUGAACAGUCUAUUUAAUGCAUACUUGAGAUUUUCUCAUUUUGAGUUUUUGGUAUGUAAUUAAGUAUCUGCUCUGAUUAUAUUGUUCCACCCAUAAUUAUAUAUCUUUGAGCUUUUGACUGACAAUCAAAUAAUAAUAAUUUUGGAAACAAAAGGAUACCAAACGGCCUAAAAGUCAUGGCGGCUUUGGAGUGUCAAUUUGUGUUACCGGAUUAUAUUUUAUCUUGUUGUGUCAUGUUAAAUUUAAAUAAAUACAGAUACAACUAUUUAAUAAUCGUACCAAAAUCUUUGAAACGAAAUAAGGGACAAGUGUAAAAUUCUAAUAAUGCUAUUAUGUUGUCUUCAAUUUUUCUUCGAAAAAAGUGAAAAUAAUAAAAUCAUCUUGUUGAACAUGUUUUCAACCUUUCUUUUAUCUUUUUAUGGAAAGAAAAGUGGUAUUUAGAAAAUGAUAUUAGAUACUAGGUAGACUCUAAAGAUUUUACAUGGUCCAAUUUUAUAGCAAAUUAAACUCCAAAAAUGUAGCUGAAAUUGGGCCAAUUUCAACUCAGAUCAAAAUCAAGAGAGGUAGAACUAUCCCUACCUAGCAAUUGGUUAGCCUUUUGACUAAAAGUACUGUUUAAGGCUUGGACCACUCUCACUAGUGGCUAACCCAUAGGCAUUGCCUCCCUUCUGGAUUCAUGUUGUACUGCCAAAACUAAAAGCAUCUUAUUUGGAGCGACUCAAAAGCCACCAAUAUUUCACAUCAUUACAUUAAUUAGGUGAGUUCAAUUGAAUUUAUUUUCUCUUGUCAAGUAAUCAAGAUUCAUAAAAUCUUAACGUUGCAUUGAAAUUGACUUUUGAUUUUAUUGUUUGAAAAAAUAAAAUUUGAUUCAGCCAAAAAUAUAAAUAUAAAUAAAUAAAUCUAAUUAUCUUUAUCAAUUAGUGUUUGAAUUUCAUAACUUGAGCAAGUAUCUUGAGCAAACACUUUGAAAGAUAGGAUUUGUUUCAAAAUUUUCCCACAUUUCACAUCCCAUGAACAUUGAGAGAUUUGGUCCAUUUGAGCCAAAGGGUAGGCUUCACCAUUUCAAGAUUUUGUGCCCUCAUCUAUCUAACUCUUGAUGUUUUUCUUGUUAUUAUUUCUAUUUAUAAUCACAACAAUUUUUCAUCUGCACAGUGUCCCUGAGGUGAGGCCUUAGGUUAAUUUAAGGCAUAAAAUAGAUCAGAAGGGUCCCCAUUUUUCCCCAUUUUUUGUUCUCUUUUGUUUACUUUUUCCAGAGAUAUUAAGACACCCCUUUUAAUGCAAUUUACACGAAAUUAUUAAACUCUACAAAAAUAUAGGCUUCAAAAGUAAAUAUAGUACUUUAAGCUCACAGUCUAUAGCCAGCUUGAGCCUGGACCAGCAUUAAUUAUGCUUAGUCCUUAUUCACUAUAUAUUAGGGUUUUUUUUUAUCACUACUUCCAUUGUGUGUAUAACAUUUUGGAACAUUCUCAUAGGUCUCAAGGGUUAAAACACGUAUUAGGGGCUACUUAACUCUAGCACCUCAAAUUCGAUUGGUUACAUGUCAUAUUAGAGAACAGGAUAUGAUAAAAAAAAAUGGAUAAACCUUUGACAUAUAUAAAAUCUAUAUUUAAAGGAAACUUAUAUACAAUCAAAUACUUAUAACGAAACAUAGAUUUGUAUUUUUAUCAUUUCAGUGUGCGUAAGACUAAUUAUUUGAAUCGACCAAUACACAAACACACACAUAAUUUUCAGGUGUGUGUAAGACUAAUUAUCUGAAUCGACCAAUAUAAAAAUUUUUUAGAUGGUCAAAGAAAUUUGGGGUUCUAAUUUCGUUAGGUGAAAAAAUAUUUUAUUUAUGUAGUGUAUAAAAGAUUUGUUCUCUUAUUCCUUUAUUUAGUAUGAGAAUAAUAGAAUCAAAAAAUAUAAUUUGGAGAAGAAAGAGAACAAUAAGCAUUUUCCGAAAAAUCAAACAGUUCUCUUGUGUCCACUCGGAAGAUUUCUCGAAAGAGUCUAUUGAAGACGAGAUUAGCCAUGUUUUUAUAUACUUGAAAAUCAAUUAGGCCAAGAUUAAGUUUUCAAUUUUUCUUAAUAUGUUAUUUGGAUCGAGCUUAAAAAUGACGAAUUGAUAAUCCCCACCCGAUUUGACCCAUUGCCAUGCCUUAUAUUUUACCAACCUACUAAUAAUAUUCAUACCGCAAAAUUUUAUGUACAGUAAUUUUCAUACAAAAAAAAAGGCAAAAUUACUUUUGCCAAUUCUCACUACCAAUUGAAGGCCUUAAUAAAUGAUGCCUAGCCAUUAAUAUUGACCUCAAAAGAAAGAGCCUGCCAAUUCACUCUCAAAUUGGAGGCCUUAAUUAAAUGGCCUACCCAAUAAAAUUGACCUAAACUAGAUGGACAGAAUUGACUAGAGAUUUAGAGGUCGUUUUACACUUUACAAUUCAGUCCAGAAAACACAAGUGUGUCUAAAAGCCUACAAGUAAAUAUUAAUUGAUGAAUGAUGAUAGUCAUUAAUAGCUACACUAAAUUGAGGCAGUCAAACCCGCCAAACUUAGAGGUCAAAAUUCUAAACUCCAUUCUAUUUUAUAUAUUUUUUAUACUUUUAUUUUUAUUACCCCAAGGCUACGUUGGUACCCCUGUUAUUUUCCUAUCGUGUAGGGCAAACUGUAAAUAAAAUAAAUAGUGAAAUAAUAGUUUAUUGAUAAUUAUAUAUAUAUAUUUUUUUAUUUUUGGGGUUAUAAUUAAAUGCACGAAAAUGACGGGUCAUCUUCUACAAUUUAUAACAGUGUCGGACUUCGGUUCGUGUCCGGUCCCCGCUCCAUGGGACCGGAACAGUAACUUGCGCAGUACGGUUCGGUCCUUUACACUACACACUGGUUCGAUUUUUACAUUACGGUUCAAUGGUUGUCCAACUAGAUUGAGUUAGAUUUAAGGUCAGGCUAUGCACUGGUCUGUGUACGUGCCAUUAAAGAUCAUUAAAAAGAUCAUGAUUAGAAUUUAAUAUUUUGUUUGGUUUGCUCUAUUUUAGUUGUCGAAUUUACUACGUGUUGGUUAUUAAUUAGUUAAAAUCCAAUUAAUGGUGUUUAUAAACUGAAUUUAAACGUAAUGAAGAUUUAUCUAUUUUCAACCUACUUUUUCAAUCUCCUUUAUGUCGGACAAAAAUUUUAGAUUCGAGUUUGCUAGAAUAUUAAAAAAAAAAUUGCAUUUUUACUUUGAAUUACACACUACAAUUUGAUGAUAGUUUUAAGUCUAAUCCCAAGUUGAAAUAUAAUUAUUUAAAAAAAAUAUUUAGAAGAAAAUCAAGUCUGACAUGAUAUAAAGAGCAGGACUGGAAGGUAAUUUACUUAUAAAUUAUUGAGUGACUCUUAUAGAUAUUAUAAAUUAAAAGAAUAAUUUAUGAAAAAUAUUUUAAAAUUUAUACUUUCACAUUAAUUAUAAAUUAUUUUUAUUUUUUUCUUAUUGUUUUGGGUAACUAUUAAAUUUAAAAGAAUUAAUUAUGCAGUCUUUCAAAACCCCAAUAAUACGAAUUCCCAAGACCUUUUUUUUUUUUUUAAGAAAACGUUUUUAUUAUUUAUUAUGUACAUAGCAUUAUUGUCGUGCGAAAAAAAUUACGUGCACAUGAAUGAUUAGUUUAUUCUAUAAAAAGAAAAUUUUACAUGAGACUGACACAUUUUAUUAUUUAUAUAAUUUUUAUAUUUUAGCUAUAUCUAUAACAAUGACAAAUCAUGAUAGAAAAAGAAGAUCAUUUAAAUUGUUAAAAAUAACUCAUUGAGUGGUCCAAUUUGUACUGUCCCAUCUAAAUUUUUUUCGUGUUGAAUGUUAAUAUCAUUUUUUGUUCUACUCUAAAAAAUACAUCUCUCAAUCAAAUAUAUAACAGUAAAUACACAUGUGACAAAAUCUCCGCUGUACCUAAAGUGCAUUCAGACUUUUUUCCUUAAUUUUUGAUGUAUUUUUUAAAAUUAUUUUAAUCCCAUCUUUUGCGGAAAUAUUCGUACAUAUAUCAUAGGGUAAACAAACAAAUCAAACGGUCAUUUUUUUGACAAUAAAUCAAACAGUUGGAUCUUGUUCAAAUACGGUAGACGCAUUAUAUACAGUAACUACGACAUUACUAAUAUAUAUUAGUGGGUCCCAAUUUCAACCCCUCUCUUAGUUUUUCCACUUUACCACUUCCUUCUCUCAUCUCAACGAACUGUACAGUUGUAACUGUACAUCAUUUGCGCCAGUCUCUUGACUCUCUCUCUCUCUCUCACUAAAAGCUUCCCACAAAAUUCCCAUAUAAUUACAAUCAAGUCCAAACGGAAGCAACGUUGCUUUCUCCCUACUUCAAAUGGCUCACAAGCAAUCUCUUCUCUUACACUCAUAAAAGGCGAUACCCAAUUCCACAGACACUCACAAAACAAAAAACAUCUCUCUCUCCUUAUCUUUCUCUCUCAUUUUCCUCUCAAAUUCGAUUAAAAUUCAAGUUGUUUUUUUUUUUUUUGGGUUCAAAUGGAACCAACGGAACACAGAUCCAGCGCAAUUGGGCCUUCGCUUGACCAAAAUGCCCUCGACUCUCUCCAAUUCAAUGAAGAAAUUCAGCAUUUGAUGACCCUGCCGCCAGAGAACGCCAACUCCUUCACAGCACUCCUCGAGCUGCCGGCCCCACAAGCCGUUGAACUCCUCCACCACCACCACCACCGCCGCUCACCCGAAUCCAACGGCUCUACUGCGAAACUAGUCACCGCAAAGGCCGAUGGACAUGGACUUCACCACCCACACGCGACACCUCAUCAUUUCAACCCAGGGGCAAACUUGACUUUUCCAUCUGAUAUCUCUUUGAUCGAACGCGCCGUGAGAUUCUCGGUCUUCGCCGGAAUCAAUAACAGUGAUAACAACCACAACGAUAAUAAUAAUAAUAAUCAUAAAGUUAGUAGUAAAAUUGAUAAAAACAAUAAUAAUAAUAAUUGCUCUCCGGAAACAACUGGGUCGGUGCCGUCGAAUUCAAGCGGGAAUCUCGGGAAAGUGAAGAACGAACCGGCAGAAUCAGACUCCGACAACAACAAUCCGAAUUCACCACAGCCGUUGGAUAUCAAGACCGAGAACCAGAAUCAGAAGUCGGCGAAGAGAAAAGAGCGAGAGAAGAAGGUAAAGGAAAUGGAGUUUAGGGUUCCCUAGGCUCUUUUCGGUUUCUCUCGGUGGCUGAAUUGUAAAUUGUCGGCUUAAUUUGUGCAAUAAUUACAGGGCAAAGCGGCGACAAAGAAGUCUAAAAGUGGCGCUAACGAUAGCAGCGAAGAUGCGGAGAAACUUCCUUACGUUCACGUCCGAGCUCGUCGUGGUCAAGCUACAGAUAGUCACAGCUUGGCCGAGAGAGUAAUAAUUACACUAAUCUCUCUAAAUCAAACCUUAAUUAAUAAUUAUUGACUUUAUCACUAUUUUUUCAACUACUAAUUGUUUAAUUAUUUUAUUAAUACUACUGUAGGCGAGGAGAGAGAAGAUUAAUGCACGAAUGAAGCUGUUACAAGAGCUGGUCCCGGGCUGCAAUAAGGUGAUUGUGUAAAUUUGGAUUAAUUAGUAAUCAUUUGUUUUGAUUAUGAUUUUCCGGGGAUUAAAUUAAAGAAUAUUCUGCCGAAAAAGUGAAAAUUACAUCCUCAGAUUAUGUGCUUUUAAUAACGGUAUUGUCCUUGUCAUACUUUUUUUCUUUUGCACAAGUGGGGAUGCUUUGUUAGGAUGGUCUUGUCAAAGGGGCAAUUUUGGCAAUUCAAUUAUUUUUAUAUUUGAUAUUCGGGGGAGAGUUGUUACGAGCCCCUUUUAAGGUCAGUUUUGUCAUUUUGAAGAUCAAAUUUUUGGAACUUGAAAAUGUCGUGGAUAAGAAACUGUGUAGUGAAACGACAAAUUUGCCCUUCCAUGGGGCUAGACAAGACAAUCUAGUUAUGUGGGAGUGCUAGCUGGUUUGAAGUGCUUGGGAGACAACUGUAGUGGGUUUGUGUUGGGUAUCAAAUUGCUAUUGGGUCCCAUUCCAUUGACAUAAAAAUUUUGAUGCCCAAUGGGAAGGUUCAUUGUACAAUCUUCUGUUACUGAGUUUGGUAUCCAUCGAGGAUGGGAUGAUGAGAGGUCAGUGAUGAAAGAAUGAUUCCAUAGACAAACACACGUACCUAACUGGAAAAAGGACUUGAUUUUUAUAGUUGAUGACAUGUUGGGAAGUGACUUCUAUACUUGACUUUUGAAAUUAAUCUUCUUUUUUUCUUCUUUUAAUGAAUGAAUAGCUAAAACAAGUUGAAUUUUUUUGAGAAUCUAAGGUCUAAUUCUAGUGGUAAAGAUCAGUCUUCCUAGGAUUCAGGUCGUGGGUUCGAAUUUGGGUGCCUGAGUUAAUAAUUAAAAAAAAAAAGAAAGGAAAAAAAAUAAAAAAGUUGAAUCUCAAUGAUGAGAUACUGACAAGGUAAUUUGAUUUGUGGGCUAAAAGAGGUCUUGGGUGAAAAUUUUCAAGUAGAAGCAUCCCUGGAGAUUAUAAAUUAGGCCCUUGUUAUUUUUUCUGAAUCUUUUGAUGGAAAAAUGCCUUUUGAAUCAAACAUCGAGUUUAUUUUUUUGCUGUAAAAGGGGAGAUGGUUUGCAUCAUAACAGAUUCCUCUGUAACCACACCUAUAUUUAAUAUCAUUGGAGACAAUGAGUCAAGACGCUAUUUUUCAGCGUUCUUUGUGCAGCGGCUGAUACUUCAAUGGCGUCUAACAUGAAAAGUUAUGUUUUGCAGAUUUCUGGGACAGCAUUAGUUUUAGAUGAGAUCAUCAACCAUGUGCAGUCGUUACAGCGUCAAGUGGAGGUCAGACUUGCUCAUUUCAAUAACCAAUCUCUCUAUUCUUCUUCUUCUUCUUACAUCUUUCUCUCGGGAUAACGCAAUGAGGUGCUAGGAGCUUAGUAGAAAAUUUGGUUUGGGACUUGUGAUUAGGUUUUGUUGACAGAGUUGUGACCCUUAAGCAUCUUAAGUGGACUGGUGGAGCAGGGUAUAGGAGGAAGGGUCUUACGGUUGGAUAGGUUGUCCUGCCAUUCUCCCCAAAAUUGUCAUUUUAAAACAAUUUUGAUAGUCUGAUUUGUCAAAAUUUCAUCUGACUUUAUCAUUUUCCCGUUCCAAAGCUUUCAAAGAGCAUAGAAAGUGAGAUGGUCUUAAAACCUUCUUUCUAGCUUUCUUCAUUGUGCUGAAUUAAUUUGUAUCUCCAUGAUCUAUGUACCCUCCUUUGUUGCUAAAUGACAUGCAUUUUUUUGCCUUGUAGAUCAAUAUUUAACAAUAGAAAGUGAAAAAUUAGCCACUGAUUCAUAGCUAACCUUUGGAUAUAUUUUACAUGUUCUCAUGACAAAAGUUUCAAAAACCUGUGAAAUGUAGAAAACCUCCAAAUAUAGUUGCGAAGCUACCAGCAUUAAAUAAUUUGUUGUGAUUUCAAAAUCUUAAACGGAUUUUAUGGCUGUGAUCUUAUUCUGUUUUUACCUUUUGUUUCAGUUCUUGUCAAUGAGACUUGCAGCAGUCAAUCCAAGGAUUGAUUUCAAUCUGGACAGCUUAUUUGUUGCAGAGGUAAGAUUAGUUAGUUAUUUCCUUUUUCCAUUCAUGUUCAAGGUGUAGACUGGUUAUGUUGUGGGUUGGUUUGAUCUAUAGCCUAGUACAUUGUUCCCAUAAAGAGCUGCUCCUUGGUUUAACCUUCCUGAAUAGCUAUUAGCCACUGCAUCAUUUAUUUGUUGUGUAGUUGUUGUAAUUUUAAUUUAAAUAGGCCUAGUUUUAUUAUUUUCAUGGAACAGGAAGUCAGAAAUCUUUGAAAUCGUAAUCUAGCUCAUUGGAUUAUUCCUACACCAGAGUGUGACUGUUUGCCUUUAAAACCUGUACAGGGGAGUGGGUCAGACUAGGACCACCCUAUUUUACCUGCUCAAAUUUACACUUCCGACAAUCAAAAUGAUUGUCAUGGCCUGAGCUAAAUGCACUUGACUGUUGUAGUUAUGUCUGUAAAGACUCGUGAAUGGUGGGUCCUCCCUUAAUAAUGUUACUAACAUUUACUAUUGAUCUUUGAUAUCUUUAGAGUGGAUCGUUAAUCGACAGUAGCUUCCCUGGCAUGGUUAUGCCUGUAAUGUGGCCUGAACUCCAAGCCCAUGGAAACCGACAACAGUAUCAACAGCAAUGGCAUCAUUUUGAUGGGCAUCACCAGCCUCUUUUGGGAGGAGCAGAAGAAAGCCAUAACUUUGUUACUCCCGAGAACUCACUUUUGAGUUAUGAUUCUUCAGCAAAUUCAGGUAGAGAGGAACUAAUUCCCCAUCAGAAAGAAGGGGGAAAAAAUAAAAAAAAGCUUAUCAUUUUAUCUGACAGCAGAUGAUACCACCAUUUGAAUGUGAAAAACAUGUCGAAACUACAUAACUAACUUCACAUUCUCUCUGUGUAACAGCAACUCUGCACACAAAUCAAUUGAAGAUGGAGCUAUGAAGAUGCAAUGAAGCUCUCCAGCAGUAGCUAGUACCUCGUACUGUAUAUAUUGAUGAUAAUAUUAGCGGUUAGCAGAGUAGUAGAGGGCAGUCCUCAGCAUUUAUCCCGGGCUACCAUUUGUCUUCAAUUUACCCCGAGUCAUUUGGAAACCCAGAUUUGUUUCUACCGGAGACGAUUACUUUCAGUAUGUCAUUCUUAUAUAAAUAUAAAUAUAUUUAUUAUAAGUAUCUCUUACUUAAUUAGAAUACUAAUUUUCCCCUCAGAGUCAUUCAAUCUAAUUCUUAAUUUCUGAGAUGAUUGAUUGAUUCAUACUGUAAAAGCAUAGAGUGGACUAUCGUGCGUUAUUAUUUAUGCAAGUCUUCCUUUCUUCUCUAUAAUAUGUAUGAUCUGUGGCUUUAUCGUCUUGUAAAGUAACUGUUGUAGCCCUACUUGGACAUUUGUCUUAGUAAGAUUUUUUUUUUUUAAUUAUUAUUUUUGUUUUUAAAUUUGCAAAAGCCCAGACCUGGAUGCAGGCACAUGAUGCCAGAUUGCAGUUGUCGGAUGCCAAUAUUUCAACAUUGAUUACGUGAUCUAAUCUCAAAUCACUUUCAGUAUAUCAUAUCUCUAAUGAUAGGAAUGCAAGCUGAUUGAUUCAAUUGAUAAUACAUUUUUUCUCUUUUAUUUACAUUAUAACUUUUUAAGACUUCUUAAUCAUAUUAUUGGGAUCAAUUAAUUUUAAUUUUAUUAGUAGAGGUGUUGUUCAAAAAUUAUUUUUUUGAUUUAGUUAUCCUUAGUGUGAAUAAUAUAGAGACAAAUAUAUGAAUAAUUAAUUAACGAAAUAUGUUAAUUCUAUGAAACUCUAAACAUAUUUCAAAAGUUAGAAAUAUUUUUAUUUCAAUAAUAAAAUGUUUGGUACUAAUAAGUUAUUAUGUAUUUGCGACAUCAAAUAUGUAGUAAUAACUUUAAAGAAAUUUUUUUUUUAAAUAUCUUUCUUAAUUUGAGUUCUCUUAAACUUUUAAAAAUAUUAUAUUAUAUAUUUUUAAGUAAUAGUAUAUAAAUUAAAUUCAUAUUUUUUUUUUAAUUUAUAAGCUACUAAUUACCAUUGGAAUUUUUAAUCAAAAGAAAUCAUGAUCCAAAUAAUAAUUAUUUUUGUUAGAAUAUCAAAAUGUGCAGCGUUUCAAUUUCAAAGGGGGAUUGAGAGAAAAUACCCACCAUAUCAUUUAAGAAUAGUGCUCUAUACUCCAAAAUUUUAUUCCACCUACAAUUAUCAUAUAAGAUAAACUUUUAGAAUUUAGAUAAAUCUUUGACUAGUUUAUCAUUACUCAUUAAUUGGAAUAUGAUAGCGUGACUCCUUAUCUUCUUUCACAAUAUAGAAACAAUAUAAUAGAAAAACCAAAACCGUACUCAUAGAUAAUGCCCCGGAUUGGAUCAUUAGUAGGGGCAGAGCAUAACCAGAAGCAACAAAAAUGGUGACUUAUCUCUCUCGAUUUACAAUAACAAUAAUCGGUCUCCUCAUCAUCAUCCAAUCAACCCCCUCCACGUCAUCACCCAACAACAGCGUCCAACUCCUCCUCCUCUCCACCACCCAUAUUCACAUUCACUCGGUCAUCGACUUCGGGGCAAAAGGAGACGGCAUCCACUACGACACGGCCGCCAUCCAAUCAGCCAUCGACGCGUGUCCCCCCGGCAACAAACCAUGCCAGGUCCGCUUCCCGCCGGGGGAAUACCUGACCGCCACCAUCCGGCUGAAAUCGCACGUGACCCUCAACAUCCACGAAGACGCCACCCUCCUGGGAGGCCCGAGGAUCGAGGACUACCCGGAGGAGUCCUCGAGGUGGUACGUGGUGCUGGCGGAGAACGCGACCGACGUGGGGAUCACGGGGGGAGGAGUCGUCGACGGGCAGGCGAUGAAGUUUGUGGUGACGAAAAAUGAGAUCAAGAAUGUGAUGGUGAGCUGGAACCACACCGGGGCGUGUUCCGGGGAUGAGUGUAGGCCACGCCUUGUGGGGUUUCUCGGUUGCCGAAAUGUCAAUGUCUGGAACGUUAGGUUGCGAGAGCCCGCUUACUGGUGGUGCGUAUUCUAUUUUUCUUCUUCUUCUUCUUCAUUUUUUUUCAAUUUUGUUUUUCUUAAAAAAAAAAAUGUUGAAGCUUCACGUUACGCUAUUACAGUUUACCAUUGGGGUAAAUUGUCAAUAAUGUCAGAUAGUGCGGUCUGAAUGUGUACAAAAUAAAAAAGUAGAAGUAGAAGGGUUUUACUGUAAAUAUACAUUAAAAUAGGAUAAAGAUUGAAGUGGGCGCUGAAAGCCUUAUGGGCCCACCUCAAGGGAGCCCACUUGUCUUUCGGUGGCAAAUUGCACCGUCGAGACGUCCAACUUGCUGAAAAGAAUGGGCGAAUCGUAUGAAUGUCUUUGUAGUUUGUUCUGAGUUGUCGCUUUAGUUAUAAAAUUCACUCUAAUAUUUUAAUGCAUGACUAUUUUAAUCUUAACACAAUUAUUUAUUUAUUUAUUUUUUAGGGGUUUGAUCUUGUAUUCUCCAUUCCAAUAUAUAUAUAUAUAUGGUGGAGAUGAUUUUUAUUUUCAAUAAUUUUAAAUUUUACAAACGGUAAGUGAUGGUUUUAUUGGACUCAUUUCAAGGUUUAUUUCACCAAAAUUAUAUAUAAAAAUUUAUUCUAAAAUAGCUAAAUAGAAAAUGGACUGGGGAUGAGUAAUGUAGUCCCCAUAUAGGGAUUCUUCAUCCCAUCUCAUUGAAUUUAUUAGGGAAUGAGUUAGAGAAUGGUGUCCAAAUUAUAAAAGAGGGUGGGGAGUGGAGGAGGCUUCCCCGCUUCCGCCCAUUGUCAUUCUUGAUUUCUUUAGAUACCAUAUGAGACUAUGAGAGGGCAAAAAUUAUGUUGAGCCGGAAAAAAUAAAUCUAGAUACUCUAAGGGCGCUAAUUGAAACUUCACUCAUGUUAUAUAAAUUUUGUGUUUUGAGCCCCUUCUAAUUUUCUCUAUUUAUGCUAUUGUUUGACAAAUUGAUUACUUUAUUGCAGCUUGCACAUAGUGCGUUGUGAUAACACAUUCAUUCGCGAUAUGUCAAUCUAUGGAGACUUCAACACACCCAACAAUGAUGGUAUAGACAUUGAAGAUUCAAAUAACACAGUAAUUACAAGAGUCCAAAUUGAUACAGGGGAUGAUGCAAUCUGUCCAAAGACGUACACAGGCCCCCUUUAUAACUUGACUGCUACGGAUUCUUGGAUCAGAACAAAAUCUUCAGCUAUCAAACUUGGUAGUGCCAGUUGGUUUGAUUUCAAAGCCUUGGUGUUUGAUAAUAUCACCAUUGUUGAAUCUCACAGAGGGUUAGGAUUUCAAAUACGCGAUGGAGGUAACAUCAGUUAUAUCUGUGUGUGUGUGUGUGUGUGUUCACUAAUCCUAAUUAACAGCUCAUCUAGGACCAGACUACUAAAUAUAUAUAUAUGUAUAUUGUGCAGGAAAUGUAAGUGAUGUUACCUUCUCUAACAUUAACAUCAGCACACGGUACUAUGAUCCAUCAUGGUGGGGAAGAGCGGAACCUAUAUACGUGACAACGUGUCCCAGAGACACUAAGACGAAGGAGGGUACAAUCUCCAAUCUACUAUUUGUGAACAUUACUGCAAAAUCAGAAAAUGGGGUAUUCUUAUCAGGUUCUAAACACGGACUACUGAAAAAUUUAAGUUUCAUAAACAUGAAUGUCACAUACAAGAGGUGGACAAAUUAUAUGGGUGGAUUGGUGGACUACAGACCAGGAUGCCAAGGGCUCGUUAAUCACAGCUCUGCUGGGAUCAUCAUGGAACACAUUGAAGGUUUGGAGGUUAAGAAUGUGAACAUGAAAUGGCAUGGUGAUCAGUCAAGUAGCUGGAGUAAUCCAUUGGACUUUAGGCCUUGGACUGUAAAUGGCAUUUCUUUGCUUAAUUUCCAUUCAGGUUUUGACAACAGCAACGGGAAUAUAGCAUCAUAGUAGGAAAAAACUAUUCUUAAUGUAAUUCUUUGAACAAAUAGUGGGGGUUGAUUUAUAGAUUUUUCUUUUUUUAGUAGGAUUUGAAAAUUAUUGUUGAGGAUUUCACUUACAUGGUUCAAAAAUCAAUAAAGAAAAAAUAUAUUUAAACCAUUGUCAUGAGCAAUCAAAUAUGAAAAUGUGUCGAGAACAAUUAUUAAAUGUAUUAGCAGAUGUUUUAUAUAUUCAAAGUUUUAGUUUUUACAUUUUAUUAUUAUCUAAUUUUAUUUUUGGUCAAUUAUUUUUCUGAUUAUACUACUUAAAAACUAGUGAAUUUUAUUGUCUUUAAAAAAAAAGAAAAAAAAAGUAGUGACUAGUGAUCUCCCAAGUAUCAAAACUACCACAUGCCGUAAAUGAAAACAAAUUUGUGAUAUUUAAUUUAGUUCUUGAUAAAUUAUUUUUUUGAAUACACCAAUCAAAGCAAUGAAUCUUAUUAUCCUCUUUUCAUUUAAUGAAUUUUAUUGUCUUAAGAAAAAAAAUAAAGUAGUGACCAUUGAUCUCUCAACUCCCAGAUAUUAAAAAGUACCAAAUUUAAUAGCUGUUGCAAAUGAAAACAAAAUUUUUAUUAAAUAGAUAUGAGUUUUAAGUAAACCCUACAAUCCAUGUGAAAAAAGUCACUUAUUUUUAAUUGCUAUAUAGACUUUACAUAGAAAUUGUAAAAAUUCAAGGUUCGAAAUUCCUCACCACUGAAACCAAAAAUAUCGCAUCAUUGAAAGUAGUGAUUAUUACAACGGUCAAGUAAAAUUAGGGAUGGCAAAACAGCACGGGCUAGCCCAGCUUAUUCUCACGGGCUUUCACCUGAUCUUCUCACAUGAGGGUCUGGAUAAGGGCUUAAGAAAAAAAAGCUUGGGUCAAGCCUAAGGCUUCUAUUUAAAAAAAAUAAAAUUAUAAAUUAGAAUAAUAAUUUAAAUUUUAAAAAUAAUGGGAAAUAAAAAAAAGUAAACUUAAAUUCCUAAUUUAUAUAUCAAUAAUGAAUAAAAAAACUUAAAAUUAUAAUAUUAAACUCUCUUUUAAAUGUUAAUUAAUUAAUUAGAGAAUCCAGUAUCAAAAAAUUAAAUCUCUAAACUUUUAUUUACUUUAUUUUUAUUAUUAUUUUAUUUUAAAAUAUUUAUUUUAUUUAAUUCAUUGCUGAUUAUAACAACUUAAUUACUAUUAACUCAUUUCAAAUUUACAACAAUUUUAAGAAAACUUAAAAAAAAAAGUAAAAAUCCAAGUUCAGACAACCCUUACACUUCUUAUCUAAUAGGCUUGGGCCUGGACUUGAGAAAGUUCAGCCCAAACCUUUAAUUUGCCAACCCUAAGAAAAAUGAGAUGAGAAAUUGGAGACAUGAGCUUGCAAUUUGCAAGUUCGUGUCAUGCAAGUCCAAAAGCGAUUGUCAAGAGACUAAAAUAGUCCCUUUAGCAAUUUAGAAAGUGGCACUAAAUAUACCGCAUUCAAUAAUACUAAAAAAAAAAAUUGUUGUUUCCAUUGACACUCACUUUAGAGUUAUGCUAUUUGUCCCGGGUCAAACCCCGAAAACUAAAUCAAAACGACGUUGUUUCAUUUUCUUUAUGAAACGCUACCGUUUCACCCUAGAAAAAGCAAAUGUUCCUCUCCUCUUUGUCUUCCCCUCUUCGUUCUUCGUUUUCGUCUUCUCCUCUUCGUUUUCGUCUUCCCCUCUUCGUUUGACCAGGGAAAUUUGCCAUUCGUUUCACCAGGAAAAUUUGCCAUUCGUUUUCUCCUCUUCGUUUUUGUCUUCCCCUCUUCGUUUUCUCGUCUUCGUUUCACCAGGGAAAUUUGUCAUUUGUUUUCUGCCAUUCGCGCAGGCACGAUCACCGUCAACGUGGCAGCCAUGGCAGCCAUCACGCGCAUCCCUCAUUGAACUCACGAAGCGUCACAAUUAUCACAGCCUCAGGUAAUGCUUCGAUCUUUAGCUUUUCUAGGUUACGGUAAAAUGGGGACAAUUUUGAUAGCUAUCAUAAUUUCCGUUUUAUUUAAUUUUCGGUUGAAAUUAAAUGUUAAGGAAAUAAGUGUGUUUGUGCUGAAUUGGUCUGAAAUUUGUGCUUGAGUUGGUUUGCAAUUUGUGCUUGAAUUGGUAUGUAAUUUGUGCUUUAAUUGGUCUGGAAUUUGUGCUUGAGUUGGUUUGCAAUUUGUGCUUGAAUUGGUAUGUAAUUUGUGCUUUAAUUGGUCUGGAAUUUGUGCUUGAGUUGGUUUGCAAUUUGUGCUUGAAUUGGUAUGUAAUUUGUGCUUUAAUUGGUCUGGAAUUUGUGCUUGAGUUGGUUUGCAAUUUGUGCUUGAAUUGGUAUGUAAUUUGUGCUUUAAUUGGUCUGGAAUUUGUGCUUGAGUUGGUUUGCAAUUUGUGCUUGAAUUGGUAUGUAAUUUGUGCUUUAAUUGGUCUGGAAUUUGUGCUUGAGUUGGUCUGCAAUUUGUGCUUGAAUUGGUCUGGAAUUUGUGCUGAUUUGGUUUGCAAUUUGUGCAAAAUUGGUCUACAAUUUGUGCUUGAAUUGGUCUGGAAUUUGUGGUUCAAUUGGUCUGCAAUUUGUGCUUGUCAAUAUGACUGGAAUUUGUGCUUCAAUUGGUUUGGAAUUUGUGCGUGAAUUGGAUUGAAAAAAACAUUCACUUCAAUCAUAAUUGGAUGUUAUAUUACAGUGUGUGUAAAUAAGUAGACUUGGUUCUCAUAGAUAGCAUCAUAUAUGGUAAUUCAAUUUAAGGAUGAUGAUAGAUAGCAGAAUUGGAUGUUAUAUUACAGUGUGUGUAAAUAAUUCUGUACAGCCCACCAGCACACACACACACACACACACACACACACUCUCUCUCUCUCUUUCUCUCUCUCUCUCUCACACACACACAGAGCUUUGUUCAGCCCGCUUUAGUAGCAAAUUCAAAUACCAAGAAACUGAGCUGGCCUUAUAAAACAUUGUUCUAGUUUUCUUUUCAUUAUUAACUGUAAUUGUAUCCCUUUUUGGACAGUUUCUUUCCAACGGUCUAUGGCUUCACAAACAAUGUCAUCCAACACAAGCGAGAAUCGAAUCUCAUUGCAAAUGUGUAAUGGAUGCGGUGAUCAGAUGGAGCUGUUAACGUCACACACAACAAAAAAUCCAAAUCGCAAAUUUUGGAUUUGUAGAGGAUGUAACAACUUUCAAUGGGCAGAAGAUCGUAAACCUAGCGAAAAGAAGAUAAAUUUGUUAGCGGAUGAGGUUAGGAAGUUGGCCUUGGAGAUUGAGUGUUUGUCUGUAAAAUUUCAAUUAUUGCAUAAAGAACUUGAGCAUAUGCGAGAUCGUGAAGUGCAAAGGCGAUUGUUGGAUUACGAACUUCGAAAGAGAGAGGCACCACGAUAUGAUUUUAUUAAAUUAAUCAUGAUUGUUGUAUUAUGUUUUCUAUUUAAGUAUUAUUUUUAUGUUGUUUCUAUUUGUACUAUGUUACUCGAAAAGACUUGUAUUGUAGAAUUUGACCACGAUAUGUAAUAACAUUUUCAUUUUAAAUAUAAGUUUCCGAUUGUUUGAAUUAAUUCAAAGUAUUCUGAAUUUAGAAUUUGACCCCAAUAAUAUUUCUCAAAAUUAUACUAUGACCCCGAUAAUAUUUCUCAAAAUUAUACUAUGGCCCAACUCAUUCCAAUAUGUUCCAAAUAGAUCCAUUUUUAGAAUUUUGAAAAACACUUACAAAGUCUAAAAUUUAAAAAAUGUCGAAAUACACAUACACCAAGUUAAUACAUAAAACAUAAGCUAACUUCAAUUAACUUCGAUCAUGUGCUUGGUUCAUUAGUUGAAAACUCCCCUCGAUUGGCCUCCUCGAAAUUUUGUUGCGGAAAAUAUUGCAAGUUUCCGUGAUAGACUCCGCCAUAAUUCAUCCAGGAUUGAUAGUAAAAGGGAAAAAUGCAUGUUCUAAGGGUGCUUUUUGUUCUAGCUGUUAUACAAAAAAAAAAUUAUAUACAAAUUAUCAAACAUAUGACAAUGAAUGGAAAUAACAAAUUAAAAAAAAAUAUUACCAUAGCCAUAUGGCUCUCUUGUGUUGGGAUUGUAGUAGCCACCUGAGAAGAAAAAUCAUGUAUCUCCGAGUCCUAGAAAUGCGGUUAACACACAUUUAAAGUAUAUAUUGUAAAUUAAUGUAUUAAAGUAAUUACCUCUACAGUUGUGCUAGUCGAAGCAUUAUUCGACUUCUGUUUUGGCCUCUUAAAUUGUUUUUGCUUUCUUUGACUAGGUGGACGACCUUUACUCCGAGUUACUACUGGAUCCUGUAUGUUUUCGGUACAGCUUCCUGAUCCACCAUAAAUGGUUGUAUCGUCACCGUCACUUCGAACAUUCAGAGAUACAUCUUUCAUUGCUUUCUCGAUCCAACCCAUAAUAUUUUUAUGGCUUUCUUCAUUUUUUGAAGCUACCUCAGCAACAUCAUAAAAAGCAGUGCACUCAUCUUUAUAUCGCUGAUGUUCAAUGCUUGAACUUCGUGCAUCAUAACUACUUUGACUUUACUGUAGAAUCUCCGCACAUCUUUCCUCCAUCUUCGUAGGAUAUACUUUUCAGGCAGUAAUUGUAUACGGUUACGUGACAACACUGCGAUGGUGUGUCUGCAAAGAAUGCCCUUAUAUUCAAACAUUGAACACACACAAUGAAUUUCACCCUCAUUUUUUAUAAAAAAGACUUGAAAAGUUUUUUCUCUACUCUUUUCAUCGUUUUCAAUAACUUCAUAUUCUGAUCCCCCACAACUGAAAACCUCACAAUAUAUCUUCUUCACCAACUCUUGUUGAAAUUCUUGAAACUUGAAAAUAGUAUACACUUCUUCAACUUGCUUCUGAAAUUCUUGAAACUUCAUAUUCUGAUCCCCCACAACUGAAAACCUCACAAUAUAUCUUCUUCACCAACUCUUGUUGAAAUUCUUGAAACUUGAAAAUAGUAUACACUUCUUCAACUUGCUUCUGAAAUUCUUGAAACUUCAUAUUCUGAUCCCCCACAACUGAAAACCUCACAAUAUAUCUUAUUCACCAACUCUUGCUGAAAUUCUUGAAACUUGAAAAUAGUGUACACUUCUUCAACUUGCUUCUCCAUUGCAAACUGGUACGACAUGGCAUCUGUUGGCUAAAACACGUAGCAUCCGCUUGCCAUUCUUUCUCAAUUUUACUUUCCAUUACUUUCUCAUAUUUCUCCACAAAUUGUUUCAAAGUUGUUUUCGAGUUAACAUACCCAUCAAAGAAAGCAUUCAUACUUUCACUACGCUGAGUGGUUGACAUUCCAGCCCAAAAAGAAUUUUUCACGAAACAUGGAACCCAACGAUUUCUUUCCUCAUAUAAACCAUUUAACCACUUAUUAUUACUAAGAUCAUAUUUAUCUAACAUGUCAUGCCAAGCUUCCUCAAAUUCAACAAGAGUAUAUGAAUCAUAAACAACAAAAUGUAAUGAAACUUUAAUGGCAUGAUAUUCAACAUACCUUCCCAACUUCUUAGACACAUUUUUCAAUAUAUGCCAUAAACAACAUCGGUGCCUAGUGUUUGGAAAAACAAUCUCAAUCGCAUUUUUCAUCGCUUUGUCUUGAUCUGUAAUGAUUCCAUGGGGAAGAGAGCCAGACAUGCAUGAUAGCUAUGUGUCAAAUAAUCACGUAAAUGCCUAUGUGUCCUCAUGCAAAAUCAACCCACAUCAUAACAAAAUUGAUUGACCAUGAUGAUUAACUCCUACAAAAGGAGCAAAUGACAUGUCAUACUUGUUUGUAAGGUAUGUGGUAUCAAAUGUGAUCGCAUCUCCAAAGUCUUUAUAGGCUGUCCUACUCCUUGGAUCUGCCCAAAAUACAUUUUUUAACUAGCCCUCCUCAUUUAGGUCAAGACUGAAGAAAAACCCAUCAUUUUAUGUUUGCAUUUUCUUAAAAUAUCUCUUAAUUGCAACAACAUCCCCUUCUCCGAGCCUUAAUCACCUCACCUUGUCAAUAUGAUUUCUAGCAUCUUUUUCUAAGAAUGAGACUUUUUCAAAGUCACCAGCCUCGACAACAAUGGACUUAAAACUUUGAGCCAUUCUAAUUCCAGCUUCGUCAUUUAUUUCAAGCUGCUUUUUAACAAAAGGACUAAUGGUACGGUUGCAUCGAUAAUACCUACUCUUGCUCGGACUCACGGCAUGGUUGUGUUCAAGGAUCAUAUUUCCAAUUACCCAUUUCCAAUAACAAAAUCCAAACGUCCUCUAAGUUUAGCAUUGCAUCCAAUUUUUUGGUUUGGUUGAAGCCGCAAAACAUUAGUGGAUUUCGCUUUUGACUUACCAUUUCGCCCACAAGUAAAUGUCACAUAUCUCAAACUCCCAUCAUCCCCUUUUUUACAAGAUCUCUGCAUCACUGGAUACCCCUCUUGUAGGCCAUAAGCCUUAUAAUAUUCAAACAUUUCAUCAGGACUAUUAAAGGACAUCCCAACUGUUGGCUCAACAACUUUUUCCACCACCAAUUCCUCAUUAUUUUCUUUCAAAUCAACCCCAUGUAAAUCCUCCAAUUCUUCAACUUCAUCAACCUCCUCCACUUGCUCCAAAUUAUCCAUUAACUGCUGCAAAUUAAAACAAUUCAAUAUAUUAUUAUUUAUUUAUUGCAAAUUCAUUAAAUUUACAAUCAAAAAAAUUAAAAACAAAAUGAAACAACUACUGAAGAUUCAAAUUUAAACAAUUCAAGCUUGUUGUAAAAGCAUCGCAAUUGGAAACUGAAAUUGUCAAUAUUAAUGGCAAGCCGCAAAACAUUAGCUAAUAGAAGUCCGUAGGCAUAAUUAAUACUCAAAUAACUUCAAAGUGUGGUUGAGCCAGGCUAAGUUUAACUUAUAGCUAGCUCAAGCGAAAAUAUAUUGUAGGUCUUACACGCGCAUGAGUGAAUUCCAACAAAAAAAAUUUCAUGACUUACCACAAACUCAAACGCCGAAAAUGAGACAGAAAUUCGAAUAGAAAAUUUGUAUUCGUAAUCGAAAAUGAAAUUAUAAAGAAGAGAACAUUUGUAUACUCAAAUAUCUUCGUAAUCGAAAAUGAGAUAGAAAUUCAAAAAGAAAAUUUAAUACAAACUUGACAACAAAAAUGAGACAGAAAUUCGUAAUCGAAACUGAAACUUCGAAAAUUUGAAGAUUCGUACCUUAGCUUGUGCAAAUGCCGAAACUUAGUCUUAUGUCAGAAAAUUUUAACAGCUGCUGAAAAAUCGAAGAGGAAGAGCUUAAACAGCUGCGCUGAAAAAUCGAUGAGGAAGAGCUAAGAGUAGUUGUUUCUCUGCGUUUUUUUCUGCUUUAGUUGGUUUUGUUUUUACUAGGCUGAAACGACUACGUUUCUUGGAAGAAAAAAAAAAAAAAAACCAAAACGACGCCGUUUUGAAAUAAUUUGGGAUUUGACCCGGAGAAAGUAGCAUUUUCCCUCACUUUAACCAUGAACAUUAUUAAUACAUCAUUCUGCAUCAACUAGGUAUUUGUAUCAAUUCCUUUUGAAUGAGGAUGAAAAAUCUUUUCCUGAUUACAACAUUAAAAAAAAAAAAAGUGUUGAAUGAAUUAAACUAAAAAUGUUUGAAUAAUAGUCGACAUAAGAGCCACUCUUUGACUUAUGUGACCGUAUUUUCCAAAAGUCAAAAACGCAAUAUUUGUAUUUUGCUAUUUGUUGCCUUAAAUGUUAAAGAAUAUGUAUUAUUUAGGACUCGACUAGCUUACAGAAUCUGUAAGGUACAGACUGCAGCAUCAA
rnacentral:lncRNA from 1 species